UACGUAGGUGACCAGCGUUGUCCGGAUUUACUGGGCGUAAAGAGCGCGCAGGCGGUCGUUCAAGUCGAGUGUGAAAGCCCCCGGCUCAACUGGGGAGGGUCAUUCGAUACUGAUCGACUGGAAGGCAGGAGAGGGAAGCGGAAUUCCCGGUGUAGUGGUGGAAUGCGUAGAUAUCGGAAGGAACACCAGUGGCGAAAGCGGCUUCCUGGUCCAGCACCGACGUUCAGGCACGAAAGCGUGGGGAGCAAACAGG
rnacentral:rRNA from 1 species